AGCGAACGCUGGCGGCAGGCCUAAUACAUGCAAGUCGAGCGCUCGUAGCAAUACGAGAGCGGCAGACGGGAGAGUAACACGUGGGAACGUACCCUUCGGUUCGGAAUAACUCCGCUAACGCCGAGCUAAUACCGGAUACGUCCGUAAGGUGCAAGAUUUAUUGCCGAAGAAUCGGCCCGCGUCUGAAUAGCUGCUUGGUGAGUUAACGGCUCUCCAAGGCGACGAUCAGUAGCUGGUCGGAGAGGAUGAUCAGCCGUACUGGGACUGAGACAAGGCCCAGACUCCUACGGGAGGCAGCAGUAGGGAAUAUUGGACAAUGGGCGCAAGCCUGAUCCAGCCAUGCCGCGUGAGUGAUGAAGGCCUUAGGGUUGUAAAGCCCUGUCGGCGGGGAAGAUAAUGACGGUACCCGCAGAAGAAGCCCCGGCUAACUUCGUGCCAGCAGCCGCCGUAAAAC
rnacentral:rRNA from 1 species